rnacentral:rRNA from 1 species
AUUGAACGCUGGCGGCAGGCCUAACACAUGCAAGUCGAACGAGUGGCGGACGGGUGAGUAAUGUCUGGGAAACUGCCUGUUGGAGGGGGAUAACUACUGGAAACGGUAGCUAAUACCGCAUACCAUCGGAUGUGCCCAGAUGGGAUUAGCUUGUAGGUGGGGUAAAGGCUCACCUGGGCGACGAUCCCUAGCUGGUCUGAGAGGAUGACCAGCCACACUGGAACUGGAACACGGUCCAGACUCCUACGGGAGGCAGCAGUGGGAAAUAUUGCAAAAUGGGCGCAAGCCUAAUGCAGACAUGCCGCGUGUAUGAAGAGGGCCUUCGGGUUGUAAAGUACUUUCAGCGGGGAGGCGUUACCCGCAGAAGAAGCACCGGCUAACUCUGUGCCAGCAGCCGCGGUAAUAC